rnacentral:rRNA from 1 species
AUCCAGUUCUGGUAGAGUGUUUUAAGAUUGCUGAUGUUAAAAUACUUGAGGUAGAAAUUAAAGUAAAACCAUUUGAAUUAUUUAAUGAGGAAA